CGGAUUAGCGAGCCGAGCGGACCAAAACGACGGGGACGCCAAGGAGAACAACUUUCCUCAAAGCGGGCCGAGCAUCCGGGCUCGGGAAGACGGCCAAAACGGGCCAAAACCCCGCUGCAAUACCCAUUUUUGCAGCUACUGAGCAAGCUCGGAGGAGGGCUGAUCCGGCGUCGGUUGGGGCGAGCAAGGGCGGCAAGGACUAGGCGGAGC
rnacentral:lncRNA from 1 species